AAUAGAUACCCAGGUAGUCCAUGCCGUAAACGUUGGGAACUAGAUGUAGGGCCUGUUCCACGGGUUCUGUGUCGUAGCUAACGCAUUAAGUUCCCCGCCUGGGGAGUACGGCCGCAAGGCUAAAACUCAAAGGAAUUGACGGGGGCCCGCACAAGCGGCGGAGCAUGCGGAUUAAUUCGAUGCAACGCGAAGAACCUUACCAAGGCUUGACAUAUAGAAGAACACUGCAGAGAUGCAGGACUCUUUGGACACUUCUAUACAGGUGGUGCAUGGUUGUCGUCAGCUCGUGUCGUGAGAUGUUCGGUUAAGUCCGGCAACGAGCGCAACCCUCGUCCUAUGUUGCCAGCACGCGAUGGUGGGAACUCAUGGGAUACUGCCGUGGUCAACACGGAGGAAGGUGGGGAUGACGUCAAAUCAUCAUGCCCCUUAUGUCUUGGGCUUCACGCAUGCUACAAUGGCCGGUACAAAGGGCUGCGAUACCGUAAGGUGGAGCGAAUCCCAAAAAGCCGGUCUCAGUUCGGAUUGGGGUCG
rnacentral:rRNA from 1 species